ACGAGGCGAUGGAGGCAUCCAACUAGGGGAGAUGGACAAGGCCAUAGCUGGACAUAGACAAGGCCUCUACUAGUGUGCUAGGAGAUGAACAUGCUGCACUUGUCCCAGCCAGACUUGUACCUUGCCCACAGUAGCCUGCUCCUUCUAGGACCAAGAGUCCUUCCCAUGGAGGAUGACUUGAGGUGAGAGCGAAGAUUUCCCAGGCAGCAAGUGAGGGAAAGGGCCUUUGGUCACUGGCUGGACCGUGAGGAUUAGGGCAGGAGCAGAGGAAUGGGGUGUGUGCUGCAGUGCACCCCACAGCACCCAGACCAGCAGCCACUCCAAGCUUCUUCUGGAAGAAUCCAGUGCAAACCCUGAGUAUAUUGUGGAAGAGACUGUGAAGAGGUGGAAGGAAAAUUCAACAAUCAGGACAACAGCAAAGGAAAUCACAAUCUUAGACCGCAUGAGAGCUGCCAGAGGAGAGCCUAUCUCCAGACUGUGCCUGAGAAAGACAGAUCAAGGGUGCAGGAAGCAGAUGGCAUCAUCCAGACUGACAACGUGACAGUGUGGACAAAGAACGGGAAAGAAAGCAGCAACGGCAGCAGCCAGAACACUCACUAUCCGGCUGAGAUCUCCCAGACUGGAGAAAUGAAUGCUGUCAGCUGCGUGAAGAGCCUGCCUCUGUGCCCUGGCAGGGCGAGCUAUCAAGGUGCUCACAGGAAGGCAAUGUGUUGGAAAUCCUCCGUCCAGAUGCCAGGCACCAUGAGGGGAGCAGCUCUGCUCCAUCACACAGUGCCGCAGUGACAUUCUGCCCCACCAUGACCCAAAAGCAACACAGCCAGCCAAUUAUGGACCAGAACCAGAAGCCCAAGUCAACCUUUCCCCUACAAGCUGAUGAUGGUCUCUGGUAUUUUGUCACAGUCACAGAAACCUAAACAACUGGCCAGAACUUCCUGAAAAUUUGUGGGAUGUGGAGGUUUGUGGGGUUUUGGUUUUUUGAAAACUCAUACAAAGCAAUAAAAGCCGAAUUGCAUUUAGCUCCACAUU